rnacentral:rRNA from 1 species
AUUGAACGCUGGCGGAAUGCUUUACACAUGCAAGUCGAACGGCAGCACGGACUUCGGUCUGGUGGCGAGUGGCGAACGGGUGAGUAAUAUAUCGGAACGUGCCCAGUCGUGGGGGAUAACGUAGUGAAAAUUACGCUAAUACCGCAUACGAUCUAUGGAUGAAAGCGGGGGAUCGCAAGACCUCGCGCGAUUGGAGCGGCCGAUAUCAGAUUAGGUAGUUGGUGAGGUAAAGGCUCACCAAGCCGACGAUCUAUAGCUGGUCUGAGAGGACGACCAGCCACACUGGAACUGGGACACGGUCCAGACUCCUACGGGAGGCAGCAGUGGGGAAUUUUGGACAAUGGACGCAAGUCUGAUCCAGCCAUUCCGCGUGCAGGACGAAGGCCUUCGGGUUGUAAACUGCUUUUGUACAGAACGAAAAGGUCUCUAUUAAUACUAGGGGCUCAUGACGGUACUGUAAGAAUAAGCACCUACAAACUACGUGCCAGCCGCCGCCGUAACAC